UACAGAGGGGGCAAGCGUUGUUCGGAAUUACUGGGCGUAAAGGGCGCGUAGGCGGCCUUCUAAGUCGAACGUGAAAUCCCUGGGCUCAACCCAGGAACUGCGUCCGAUACUGGAAGGCUUGAAUCCGGGAGAGGGAUGCGGAAUUCCAGGUGUAGCGGUGAAAUGCGUAGAUAUCUGGAGGAACACCGGUGGCGAAGGCGGCAUCCUGGACCGGUAUUGACACUGAGGCGCGAAAGCCAGGGGAGCAAACGGG
rnacentral:rRNA from 1 species